ensembl:lncRNA
CACCACACAUGCACCACAUACCACACACACACCACAUCCACCACACAUGCACACCGUAACCACCACACACACAUGUCCACUACACACACACAUGUCCCACACAUGACACAAUCACCACAUAUACACACUGUGCACACCACAUGUCAUAUACAGCAUGCAUCCCACAUGCUACACAUCACACACAUACACCACGCGUACCACACACCCGGGCACAUCACCAUGCAUACCACACAUGUGCACGUAACCGCACACAUACACUUACAUCAAUACAUACCACAUAGUACAUAUUUACCCUACAAUACCACACAUGUAUACACCACACCCCACACAUAUGUGCCACACAUGUAGGUACCCCACACACCACACACAUGUACUGCACACACCACACUUGUAUACCCCUCCCCCCCCACAGCGCCCACUCUGCACUUCUGCUCAGGUAAAGUCAGGAGUUGUGGUUGUUUGGUUCCUGCUGUGUCCUGGGCCCACUCGCACUCCUGGGGGGAGCCAGGAGCCCCGCCUUGCAUCAGCCCCUUCCCUUGGGAGCGAGGAGUGAGCUCGGCCAUCCCCAGCCCGGGGCGGCCCCGCCCUCAGCCCCUAGGCCUGCAGGACACUGGGCUCUGGCGGUCCCCACAGGGCUCCCAUCAGCCCGGAUGGCUGGGGUUACGGCCGGGCCGGCUGCACCUUUGCCCCAGACAGCCCCCAGGUGUCGCAACACCCCCCCAUGGGCAGUCCUGGGGGCAGCUGCACCCCUGUCCCCUGAAGGCCCCCUGCCGCCCUUGCCCAGGGAGCCCUGCCCCUCUUCCCACCUCUGCACUCUGCACUCUGUGCCCUGACGACCUCCUAGCCUUCGCCUUGUCCUGCUGAUGGUGACUCGGGCUGCCUGUGGGGGCCUGCGGUCAGCUGCACUGUGUCCCGUCUCAGGUGGCGACGUUCGUGGGCCCCGUGACGGCCAUCCCGGUCCUGCUGUUCUCAGGGUUCUUCGUCAGCUUCGACACCAUCCCCACGUACCUGCAGUGGAUGUCCUACAUCUCCUACGUCAGGUAUGGGUUCGAGGGGGUCAUCCUGUCCAUCUACGGCCUGGACCGGGAAGACCUGCACUGCGACACGGACGAGACGUGCCACUUCCAGAAGUCGGAAGCCAUCUUACGGGAGCUGGAUGUGGAGAACGCCAAGUUGCACCUGGACUUCCUGGUGCUGGGCGUCUUCUUCGUCUCCCUGCGCCUCAUUGCCUACCUCGUCCUGAGGUACAAGAUCCGGGCCGAGAGGUAGAAGCCCGCGGGCCAGCAGACGCGAUGAGUAGCUGCUGCUAGGCCAAGGGUGCUCCUGGAACGGCGGCGGCCAGCCACGCCCCCGCUGACACGGAGACCCUCCCGACCCACCCUGGACUCCGCGUGCGGUCUGUGGGGCCCUGGCGCCCGGCUUCUGUGCCCAGCGAGGUCAGAUACCCUCUCCGGUUCCCUCUCUAGCUUUAACUAGGAAGCUGCAGGCAGGGUUUUCUAGGCGCACCACACCCGGGGCCGCCGUGCAACCUGGCUGGUGACGGACAGGAGGCUUCGAGAUUCUCCCCGGGACCAGGGGGCGCCUGUCCUGGCCCGGGCGUUCCGUGCCAUCUCUCAGUGGCCACUGUGUGGGUAGGGGUCUGGGGCAGAAGGCCCCGGUGUGGAGCGAUCCCCUCUGAUGACUUUCCCUAGCUCCAUCUUUGUGAGGGUUGUCUCUCUCCCCAGAAGUCACUUUUCCAAGCUGAGAGUUGAUACAUUGUAUCUGUUUGUAACUGUUGAGUACCUGUUGGUAGCAGGCUCAGCACCGACUUUGUCCGGAGCCUGGGCGGUUGGCAGCCUGACCACUGGGCUGGCCUCACUGCCAGGCCAAGCUUGGGAGAGUCCCGUGCGGGCUGUGGCUGAAGGGGACUCAGAGUCGCGCGACGGAAUCGGCCGGCGCGUCCAGCUCGUGUCCUUCUGCUGGCUUGUUGCUUUUAGUUUUAAACAAAACGUCUCUGUGUCCCCGGCUUCCUGCCCACCUCCGUUCUGCCUAAGUGUCUAGGUCAGCUCUGUUGAUUUUUUUUUUUAAUCUUUUGUCGCAUAUCACAUCAGCUACCUCCGCUGAGCCUGGGAAGCCGAGUGCCUGUUCGGAAGCGUCAGGUGUGGCCUUGGGGGGUGGGGUCUACAGAGCAGCCGCCGAGGAGGGGGCGGGACGCCCACGAGAUGUCGGGGGAUCCGUGGCAUCUGGGAGCUUUGUCUGCAGGCAGCAGAGAUGACCGGGGCAGGCAGGGGCGGGGCUGCCGCUUGGUCCGACAGCGCCAUUAGGAGUGAGCUACUGAGCAGCGUUAAGCAACCUCUGCCUUCCAAACCUGCCGGCUCCCAGGGGCAGCUUCCGGGCAAGGGUGGGUGGUGCUUCCAGCCAAAGGAGCCCACCGUUAAGGAGAAUGCAACUUCUGCCUCUCCGGUGUCACUACCCAGCAGAGGGUCCCCAAUGAAAGAUUGCGGUUUGGGGGCCGCGCUUUCUCGCCUGGCAGGCAUCGCACACGGAUCAGAGCCGAGGCCGGCUGUCUAAGAUUCCUCACUCCCACGGCUGUCUCCGGGGCUGUCUCUCCCUGUUCUCGGAGAAGGAAAAGUCCCCGUUCUACAUGGAUUUUGUUUGCAAAUGCUUAGAGAUUCUUUUUGCACUUCAAGAUCGUUUUUAGGAAACACACUAGGGUUUAUUAAGAUGGAGCGUUGAGCCUGCGUCCUGCCAGGUGGGGGCGGCUGGCCUGGGUCUCACCGUGGUCUCAGGGGACGAGGCUGUCCCUGGGCCGCUGGGUGGUCUGAGCUAGCCCAGGUGCGGAGGGGCUGGCGCACGCAGCUGUGUCUUAGACACACACACACGCACACGUGUGCCUGUGCCUGGAUUUCCUCCCUCUCCGUAGCAGACCUCAAUCACCCUCCUCAACAAGAAGGGAGAAAAAAGCUCCCUCUGUGCCCAUGGUGCCGAGGGAACAAACGUGGUCAAAACCCAUCAAGGCUUUAGCCAAACGCCAGCAAAAGUUGCACAGGACAGCCAGCAGCCAGCAGCCAGGGCAGAGUGUGCGAAUCUGGAGCCAGGCACUCCUCCGAAAUCAAGCCCGCUAAUAAAUAUUUCAUAUAAAAUCUCGCA